rnacentral:rRNA from 1 species
UACGUAGGAUCUAAACGUUGUUCGGAAUCACUGGGCGUAAAGGGUGUGUAGGCGGUCGUGUUAGUCCUUCGUAAAAGCCCGCGGGCUCAACCCGUGGAAUGCGGUGGAAACGGCACGACUAUUGAGGACGCGAGAGGUAGAGGGAACUCAUGGUGUAGGGGUGAAAUCCGUUGAUAUCAUGGGGAACACCAAAUGCGAAGGCACUCUACUGGCGCGCGCCUGACGCUGAGACACGAAAGCGUGGGAAUCGAACGGG